rnacentral:rRNA from 1 species
UACGGAGGGAGCUAGCGUUGUUCGGAAUUACUGGGCGUAAAGCGCACGUAGGCGGCUUUGUAAGUUAGAGGUGAAAGCCUGGGGCUCAACCCCCAGAAUUGCCUUUAAGACUGCAUCGCUUGAAUCCAGGAGAGGUGAGUGGAAUUCCGAGUGUAGAGGUGAAAUUCGUAGAUAUUCGGAAGAACACCAGUGGCGAAGGACG